rnacentral:ribozyme from 13 species
CAUUUUCAUUUCCCAUUUCCUUCUUAUUCUCUCUCUCUCUUUUUCCCCCUCCUUCAAAAAAAAAAAAGGUAACUUGGCUGGUGGUUUGGCUGUUACAAAGAAGAAAACAAAACCAA